UAUUUGCUCUCCCUCACUCCUUUGUAUGUAUGUGCAUGUGUGUAUGAUUUAUAUACAUGCACACACCACACACAGAUAUGUAGAUGUACAUAUAUA
rnacentral:miRNA from 1 species